rnacentral:lncRNA from 1 species
UGUCAAUCAAGACCCGUUGCCCAAACCCACAGCUAAAGGCAGGUCAUGUGAUCAAAAAUAGACCCAGAAUCUUUCUCCAGGGAAUUUGAGUCUUCAGUGGAGUAUUGAUAGAAAAUGCAUAUGAAAAAUAGUCAUUUUACACCGUGAGCCUGAUGACUCCAAUAUCUGAAGACAUUGUGAUUCUGUUCCUGCCUUAUGUUGUUCCUGCUCACUCAUGGGUAUUAUUCCUGCUCACUCAUGGGUAGUUCCUGUUUAUGAACUGCCCAUUUUCCCUGAAACUUGACCCAUGUGAGUUCUUUGAGGCUCUGGAUGAAGUUGAGUUUCUCCACAAAAGAUUUGUAUCUGUUGCUGUCUAUUACCUAGGUCAGUACCAACUCGGGACCAUUGUAAGUCAAACUCUCUCUUGAGGUUUCUUGGACCACAGAGGUAUUCCUGACACUAAGGAGUCCUGGCUGGAAGUGGGGCAUAGCAUGGAGUUGCCUCCACUGGACUGUACUGACACAUGCUCAUCUCCCGAGCUACUGACCCUUGGCCAAGCCUCUGGCAUCUGUUCACUAACAAUAAAAAGUGCUCUGUAAUCUUGGACAGUGAGUUGUUUCGUAGCAGAAGGGAGGAACCUGUCAGCAUUGUUUAGUAACAAUAUUUGGACCUAUGCCUUGUUCUGGUUUUGGUGGAGGCUGGAGAGAGGGGCUGGGUUUCAGUGGUUGAGGCUGGCUAUGUAGCUAGAAUGUGUCUGUAAGAGAACCCCACCAUGAACAGGUUACCUGGUACCAAGGUACCCAGGUGCUUCGCUCAUCUGCCUCCCCACCCCAAGCACACACACACACACACACACACGCACUUACAGAUGCAUGUGCACACACGCACACAUGUGCGCACACACCAGAGCUUGUUAGAGAUCUGGAAACAAAGCUCUCCAAUGAGGCCCAGCCACGAGAGGACAAAGAAGCCCUGGCCUUCGGUCUCCUGAUCCCUUUCCGAGCACGUCCUGCUGCUGCUGCGCUGAAUUCCUUGUCAGCUAUUCUGUGAGUAUCAGCUGAGUCUGGGGAGGCCUUGCAGCAGGGGAACACCUACGGUGACCGGGGUGUAGUAAACACACUGAGG